UCGGGCGUAGUGUAUGGAACACGGCCGGCUUCUCUGGCACGUACACUCACGCAGUAGCCGGCAGGUCGGGGUUCGACUCCCCGCGUCCGAA